rnacentral:lncRNA from 1 species
GGGGCCGGGCCUGGGCCUCCGGGGACAGCGCCCCCUGUGGUGGGCGCGGGGCGGCCUCCCUCGGAGCGGGGCCGCGACCGAGGACGCCCGAUUCGUGGACCUCGCAGAAAACAGGAAGGUCCAGAGGGUGGUGGAUCUUCAAACGUUGUGGCAGUGGACGGAGGACCCAAGAACCCUGUGAAAUCCGGGCUGGCGAAGGAUCCUGUGUCUGCAGCAUGCAAGUAGGAUCCCCAGCCCCCCACCCCCAGCCUUCCUUGACCAAAGGGGUCCAGCGCUCCUGCUUCGGAUCUGAAGAUUUUCCAGGCAGAUGAGGUUUACCUCUUGGUUAGGCAAAUGACAAGCAGUCUCACCUUGCGGAUCAAGGAAUGGGCCACAAGAUAAACGGAGACAAACCAGACAGAGGGGACCAGAGAGCCAGUGGACAAUACAGGAGAUAACUUUAUUGAAACGCAAAUGGCAUCGAACAGAUGAAUCUUGCCGGGAGGAGACAUGCCUGAUGGAACAGAGGGCCCAGAUAAGAGGGGCCUCUGGCAGUGAUGGAGGAAGGCCUCUUCAGCUGGCCUGCCAUGGACUUCAUUGUCAACCAAUUUUUGCUUAAAACGAAUUACUGAGGGGACAACUCAACUCUCUUCAUGAUUGUUACCGCAACUAUAUACAAUGGUUUGCUUUCCAGAUUCAAAUUUGCUUUCUCUACAUUAGAUAUAAAAGGGGGUAGAUUGAAAGAGGGGGAGGGUCCAAUGAGGGAAAAAAAAAAAAACACAGACACACAC